CCAAUAGCGUAUAUUAAAGUUGUUGCAGUUAAAAAGCUCGUAGUUGAAUUUCGGGAUCAGAUUGUCGGUCGUGCCUCGGUACGUACUGGCAUUAUUGGUUCCUACCUUCUGAAGAACCGCGAUGUCAUUAAUUUGGUGUCGUGGGGAAUCAGGACUGUUACUUUGAAAAAAUUAGAGUGUUUAAAGCAGGCGCACGCUUGAAUACAUUAGCAUGGAAUAAUGAAAUAGGACGUUUGAUUCUAUUUUGUUGGUUUCUAGGAUCGACGUAAUGAUUAAUAGGGAUAGUUGGGGGCAUUAGUAUUCAAUUGUCAGAGGUGAAAUUCUUGGAUUUAUUGAAGACUAACUACUGCGAAAGCAUUUGCCAAGGAUGUUUUCAUUAAUCAAGAACGAAAGUUAGGGGAUCGAAGACGAUCAGAUACCGUCGUAGUCUUAACCAUAAACUAUGCCGACUAGGGAUCGGAUGAUGUUGAUUUUUUAAUGACUCAUUCGGCGCCUUACG
rnacentral:rRNA from 1 species